GACGAACGCUGGCGGCGCGCUUAACACAUGCAAGUCGAACGGAAAGGCCUGCUUUCCCUUGUGGAUUGCGGGUACUCGAGUGGCGAACGGGUGAGUAACACGUGAGUGAUCUGCCCCCAACUUGGGUAUAAGCCUGGGAAACUGGGUCUAAUUCCCGAUAGGACUGCAGGGUGGUGCCUGUGGUGGAAAACGAUUUUCUAGUGGUUGGGGAUGAGCUCGCGGCCUAUCAGCUUGUUGGUGGGGUAAUGGCCUACCAAGGCGGCGACGGGUAGCCGGCCUGGGAGGGUGGACGGCCACAUUGGGACUGAGAUACGGCCCAGACUCCUACGGGAGGCAGCAGUGGGGAAUAAUGCGCAAUGGGCGGAAGCCUGAUGCAGCGACGCCGCGUGGGGGAUGACGGCCUUCGGGUUGUAAACUCCUUUCGACCGCGAGGAAGCCACCUGGUUGGAAGGGUGGUGACGGUAGUGGUAGAAGAAGCACCGGCUAACUACGUG
rnacentral:rRNA from 1 species